rnacentral:rRNA from 1 species
GACGAACGCUGGCGGCGUGCCUAAUACAUGCAAGUUGAGCGCUGAAGGUUGGUACUUGUACCAACUGGAUGAGCAGCGAACGGGUGAGUAACGCGUGGGGAAUCUGCCUUUGAGCGGGGGACAACAUUUGGAAACGAAUGCUACUACCGCAUAAAAACUUUAAACACAAGUUUUAAGUUUGAAAGAUGCAAUUGCAUCACUCAAAGAUGAUCCCGCGUUGUAUUAGCUAGUUGGUGAGGUAAAGGCUCACCAAGGCGACGAUACAUAGCCGACCUGAGAGGAUGAUCGGCCACAUUGGGACUGAGACACGGCCCAAACUCCUACGGGAGGCAGCAGUAGGGAAUCUUCGGCAAUGGGCGAAAGCCUGACCGAGCAACGCCGCGUGAGUGAAGAAGGUUUUCGGGUCGUAAAGCUCUGUUGGUAGGGAAGAACGGUGGUGGGAGAGGAAAGCGCAUCAAGUAACGGUAACUACCCAGAAGGGGACGGCUAACUACGU